GAUCCUGGCUCAGGAUGAACGCUGGCGGCGUGCUUAACACAUGCAAGUAGAACGAAGCACUUAAACCUGAUUCUUCGGAUGAAGGUUUUUGUGACUGAGUGGCGGACGGGUGAGUAACGCGUGGGUAACCUGCCUCAUACAGGGGGAUAACAGUUAGAAAUGACUGCUAAUACCGCAUAAGACCACGGAGCCGCAUGGCUCAGUGGGAAAAACUCCGGUGGUAUGAGAUGGACCCGCGU
rnacentral:rRNA from 1 species